UACGGAGGGUGCAAGCGUUAAUCGGAAUUACUGGGCGUAAAGGGCGCGUAGGCGGCGAUCCAAGUUAGGCGUGAAAGGCCUGGGCUCAACCCGGGAACUGCGCUUGAUACUGGAUUGCUUGAGUCCGGGAGAGGAUGGCGGAAUUCCCAGUGUAGAGGUGAAAUUCGUAGAUAUUGGGAAGAACACCGGUGGCGAAGGCGGCCAUCUGGACCGGAACUGACGCUGAGGCGCGAAAGCGUGGGGAGCAAACAGG
rnacentral:rRNA from 1 species